rnacentral:lncRNA from 1 species
UACAAAUAUAAUAUUUUUUAAAAAGAAAGCUUAAUUGGGCAUCAAGAAGCACAGAAAUUAAUAAUUGGAACUCUAAGUAACUAUUCUCAUAAUUGUUUCUCUUUUUCUUUUUCUCUCUGGUCACAUAGCCACAGCACAUGUAAACACACACUUUGGAACCAGCAGAAAACUCAUAACCACCCAUCCAGAUCCAGUUUAAAUAUGAUUUGUUCUGUAACGUGUUCACAAAUGCUGCAGAGCAGAAUUAAUUAAUUACCCUCCUCUUUGUGGUCCCAUACAUACAUGAAUACUGGUCACCAAUUUUCAUGGAGUUUAAUACCAGUAUGCAAUAUUUACAUGCCAAAGUGAACUAAAAGUGGAAUAUUAACAUCUCAAGAUCUCCAAGAUUUUAAGAAGGAAAUCCAAAACUAUGUUGGCAGUGACAAUGAAAAGUGUCUUCUAUCUAGAAAUAAAACAGAAUAUGAAGAAAAAAACAACGGUGCUGUCAGAGAAAAACUAAGAAGAGCCAUGCCCAGACCUGAUAAAAAGAUUAUGGAGCACCAUUCAGAGAUCCUGGACUCGAAAAUUGAUUCAGUCACUGGAUGGAACUUUGGGCCAUGAAUUGAGUGCCUGCCAU